UGUUGCUACUAAGAGGUUGCAACGUACUUUAUCUAAGUUGUUGUAAGGAUCAAUGUUGUUUGUGCUAUACCUUUAACUUACUGUAAGGUUCAAGGCUGUUUGUGCUACAGCUGUUUCAGUUAAUUGAAGAGUUAAUUGAGAGUAUUAUUUUCAUGUGUAUAAAGAUAGCUACUGUGUGUUUAGUUUUUGCCAUUGUGCCUUAAUGCCAUUGUGCGUGUUUGCCAUUGUGCGUGUUUGCCUCUGUGCCGUUCUGUCGGGGACUAUGCUGCAGAUGUCCUGUGAAGACACAGCCUUGAGAAGAGGACAAGGAUUCCUGCUUAUCUCAGCUGAGUGGUGAUAUCUCUCAGAAGAUAUUGUUUUAUGUUACUUUUGUGGAAACAGUAAUCCUGCUACUUUAUUUUGUAUGCUGCCAAUACAACAAUAUUUUCUUUUCUACUUGAAGUCAACGUCUCAUGUAUUUUUUCUUUUAUGAGCCAAUUCAUCACACAUUGUUAACUGGGCUAGAGUCAAUCCGCAUGCUUCUCAUGCUAGCGCAUGACAUAGGUUAUGGGCCCAGCAUAGCGGCAUAAGGACUCCAAAGCCCAUAACUCUGAGACUUUGGGAGAGUUUUUUGUGUGUGUUUUUUGUGCUUAAAUAGAAAAGUAAGCAGCUAUGGCUCAUCAUAUGGCAAGCUUACCAUUUGAGCGUUUAAAUGCUGAUAAUUACAUGGCUUGGAAUGUGAAAAUGAAGAGUUUUCUCAUAAGAGAAGAUUUGUGGACUGUGGUUGAAACCCCACCCACAGAAGCUUCGAGUGAAGAGGUAAAAAAGCAAGACCGAAUUGCCAGGGCGAGCAUUUUUCUCGCUGUUGAGGAUGGGCAAUUAAUUUACUUAAGGGACACUAUAUCUGCAGCAGACUGUUGGCAGAAGUUAAAGGAAGUUUAUCAAACUGAAACUUCUGGCAUAAAAAUUAUUUUGACCCGGCAGCUUUAUAAUUUGAAGCUAAAAAGGGGUGACAACAUAACUGAGCAUUUGCAAAAGCUCAGGCAUUUGUUGAUGGAGUUGGAAAAUAGACAAAUGGUGUUUACCGAAACACAUAAAGCUUUCAUUUUGUUAUCUUCUUUGGACUCUAGUUGGGACAAUUUUGUGUUCAGUAUGCAGAGUGUGCCUGAAGCACAAUUAACCUUGGAUUUGGUUUCUGCAAGGCUUCUUGAGGAAGAAAGAAGAAAGCAGUUUCUUAAAGAAACAAACACCAUUUCAGAAAAUGCAGCUUGUGAAGGGGUUGGAUGCAGAAAGAACCCUGCUGUGUGUAACGUAAGGAGGUGCUUCAGUUGUGGAGAUGUGAAUCAUCUUGUCAAGGCCUGUCCCAAGAAGAAGAAGAAGAAAGAAGAAAUGAAGAGGAACCCUGGGUGGCAUGACAGAAAUGCAAGGGGAAGAAAUGCUGAUAGGCUGACAAAGAACUGGUAAUGUACGCCGACAGUUCUUUUGCUGAUGAAAAAGAUAGAAAAUCUAUAAGUGGAUACAUAGUGCUACAUGGAAAAUCUCCUAUCUGCUGGAGGUCCAGAAAGCAAACAACUGUUGCAGUUUCUACGGCUGAAGCAGAAUAUGCGGCGUUGUCUCAAGCUGCAAAUGAGUUACUUUGGAUUAAACAGUUAUUUGAUGAUUUAGGUGUAGAAUGUAAAUUGCCUAUUACUGUGUAUGACGAUUCUCAAACGUGUAUAGCUAUGUCAGAAAGCGAAAGUUUAAAAAAUACAACAAAAUACAUAGCUGUGAAGUAUCAAAAUAUAAGAACCUUAAUCAAGGAAGGAUUUAUCAAAAUGGUUUAUUGUAGGUCUGAAGAUAACUUGGCAGAUAUUUUUACAAAACCUUUAACGGCAGCUAAGCAUGGUGAAGCAACCAGAAAGUUAGGCCUAGUAGAAUUAAAACAAAAUUUGUAAAUAAUGUAACUUAGAUAAAGUGAAGGGGCAUGUUGCUACUAAGAGGUUGCAACAUACUUUAUCUAAGUUGUUGUAAGGAUCAAUGUUGUUUGUGCUAUACCUUUAACUUACUGUAAGGUUCAAGGCUGUUUGUGCUACAGCUGUUUCAGUUAAUUGAAGAGUUAAUUGAGAGUAUUAUUUUCAUGUGUAUAAAGAUAGCUACUGUGUGUUUAGUUUUUGCCAUUGUGCCUUAAUGCCAUUGUGCGUGUUUGCCAUUGUGCGUGUUUGCCUCUGUGCCGUUCUGUCGGGGACUAUGCUGCAGAUGUCCUGUGAAGACACAGCCUUGAGAAGAGGACAAGGAUUCCUGCUUAUCUCAGCUGAGUGGUGAUAUCUCUCAGAAGAUAUUGUUUUAUGUUACUUUUGUGGAAACAGUAAUCCUGCUACUUUAUUUUGUAUGCUGCCAAUACAACAAUAUUUUCUUUUCUACUUGAA